AGCGAAGAGGAGGUCGAUUCCUCUCUGGGUUCGACUUCCUCUCUCACGAGUUCGUGCAGAAGAAGACUCCCAACGAGUAUCUUCAAUAUUUUUCUCUAUUUUUUUCUUUUUUUAUUUUCAGAGUUUGGUGCGGUGGGGUAGUGGUGAUGGUGGCUUUGGUUGGGUUGGGUUGAUAGGGGUGUAGAGAUGCUAUGGUUGUGGAGGUCGAAUAAGGUUUAUUUUGAUAACAAUUGAUGCACGAUAAAGGGAGAAGAAAAAGAAGAGGGGGGAGAGG
rnacentral:lncRNA from 1 species